UACGUAGGGCGCAAGCGUUGUCCGGAAUUAUUGGGCGUAAAGCGCGCGUAGGCGGUUACUCAAGUCGGAUGUGAAAGCCCUCGGCUUAACUGAGGAAGUGCACCCGAAACUGAGUAGCUAGAGUACCAAAGAGGGUCGCGGAAUUCCCGGUGUAGAGGUGAAAUUCGUAGAUAUCGGGAGGAACACCGGUGGCGAAGGCGGCGACCUGGGUGGAUACUGACGCUGAGGCGCGAAAGCGUGGGGAGCAAACAGG
rnacentral:rRNA from 1 species